UACGGGGGGAGCAAGCGUUGUUCGGAUUUACUGGGCGUAAAGGGCGCGUAGGCGGCGCAACAAGUCACUUGUGAAAUCUCCGGGCUUAACCCGGAGCGGCCAAGUGAUACUGUCGUGCUAGAGUGCGGAAGGGGCUACUGGAAUUCUCGGUGUAGCGGUGAAAUGCGUAGAUAUCGAGAGGAACACCUGCGGCGAAGGCGGGUAGCUGGGCCGACACUGACGCUGAGGCGCGAAAGCGUGGGUAGCAAACGGG
rnacentral:rRNA from 1 species